GCGACAUUAGCCAAACCAACCAACACAGGCUAAGCUUGCUUGUGCCGGCAUCAUUCGAGGUCACUGACUGACACGUGGGCCGCUAUCCUCUCCUCGCAGUGAAAUUGGAGCUCAGAACCUUCCAGUAUUUAGGAACGGACGGCCAUGUUAUUUUCGGCACCUCGGGUGCAGCACACACACACGAAGGCGGCAAGACUCGGCACGACUCAUCUUUUCUGGGACUGUUUGCGUCUGCUGCCCGUUCUCGUGAAAUCCUCUGUCUGAGUGUCGUGUUCUCAAGACUGUACUCUUCUUCCGUGCAAAGCGCGUGUGCACUUUGUUGCAGAGCGAAACUUUCUUCUCUUAUGAAAACAGCAAAAGUACUGCCACCACGGUUUUACUC